UACAGAGGUCCCAAGCGUUGUUCGGAUUCACUGGGCGUAAAGGGUGCGUAGGCGGUCGGGUAAGUCUGAUGUGAAAUCUCACAGCUUAACUGUGAAACUGCAUUGGAUACUAUCCGGCUAGAGGAAUGGAGGGGAGACUGGAAUACUUGGUGUAGCAGUGAAAUGCGUAGAUAUCAAGUGGAACACCAGUGGCGAAGGCGAGUCUCUGGACAUUUACUGACGCUGAGGCACGAAAGCCAGGGGAGCAAACGGG
rnacentral:rRNA from 1 species